UAUUGGCCAAUGGGCGAAAGCCUGAUCCUGCAAUGCCGCGUGAGUGAUGAAGCCCUUAGGGUUGUAAAGCUCUUUUACCCGGGAUGAUAAUGACAGUACCGGGAGAAUAAGCUCCGGCUACUCCGUGCCAGCAGCCGCGGUAAUACGGAGGGAGCUAGCGUUGUUCGGAAUUACUGGGCGUAAAGCGCACGUAGGCGGCUUUGUAAGUUAGAGGUGAAAGCCUGGAGCUCAACUCCAGAAUUGCCUUUGAUACUGCAUCGCUUGAAUCCAGGAGAGGUGAGUGGAAUUCCGAGUGUAGAGGUGAAAUUCGUAGAUAUUCGGAAGAACACCAGUGGCGAAGGCGGCUCACUGACGGUAUUGACGCUGAGGGCGAAA
rnacentral:rRNA from 1 species